rnacentral:rRNA from 1 species
UUCGGGGACUGAGUAGAGCGGCGCACGGGUGAGNUACGCGUGGGUAUCUGCCCGGGAGAUCGGGAUAACAGUGGGAGGGCGCUGCUAAUACCGAAUACGUCUGACAAGAGAAAGGUGGCCUCUGAUUCAAGCUGCCGCUCUCGGAUGAGCCCGCGUCCCAUUAGCUUGUUGGUGGGGUAACGGCCUACCAAGGCUCCGAUGGGUAGCUGGUCUGAGAGGAUGAUCAGCCACACUGGGACUGGAACACGGCCCAGACUCCUACGGGAGGCAGCAGUGGGGAAUAUUGCGCAAUGGGCGAAAGCCUGACGCAGCGACGCCGCGUGAGGGAUGAAGGCCUUCGGGUCGUAAACCUCUGUCAGGAGGGAAGAACCGUCUGGGACUUAACAGGUUCCGGGCCUGACGGUACCUCCAGAGGAAGCACCGGCUAACUCCGUGCCAGCAGCCGCGGUAAUACGGAGGGUGCGAGCGUUAAUCGGAAUCACUGGGCGUAAAGCGCGCGUAGGCGGCUUGCCAAGUCGGAUGUGAAAGCCCUCGGCUCAACCGGGGAACUGCAUUCGAAACUGGCAGGCUGGAGUCCCGGAGAGGGUGGCGGAAUUCCCGGUGUAGGAGUGAAAUCCGUAGAUCUCGGGAGGAACACCAGUGGCGAAGGCGGCCACCUGGACGGUGACUGACGCUGAGGUGCGAAAGCGUGGGGAGCAAACAGGAUUAGAUACCCUGGUAGUCCACGCUGUAAACGAUGGAUGCUAGGUGUCGGGGGUAUUCCUUCGGGUGGCGGAAGUAAACGCGAAUAAGGCAUCCCGACCUGGGGAAGUACGGUCGCCAAGGCUGAAACUCAAAGAAAUUGACGGGGGCC